rnacentral:rRNA from 1 species
GGGUUGUGAGGUUAAGCGACUAAGCGUACACGGUGGAUGCCCUGGCAGUCAGAGGCGAUGAAGGGCGUGCUAAUCUGCGAUAAGCGCCGGUAAGGUGAUAUGAACCGUUAUAACCGGCGAUACCCGAAUGGGGAAACCCAGUGUGAUUCGUCACACUAUCAUUACGUGAAUACAUAGCGUAAUGAAGCGAACCGGGGGAACUGAAACAUCUAAGUACCCCGAGGAAAAGAAAUCAACCGAGAUUCCCCCAGUAGCGGCGAGCGAACGGGGAGGAGCCCAGAGCCUGAAUCAGCAUGUGUGUUAGUGGAAGCGUCUGGAAAGGCGCGCGAUACAGGGUGACAGCC